UUGUGGUUCACUCCUUCGAGUGAUGAAAAGGGAAUCAGGUGAAAAUCCUGAGCAGUCCCGCUGCUGUAAGCUGAUUUUACACAGAUUGCGAAACUCUAAAAGCCACUGAAGCGAAAGGCAACAGAAACCAUUCGUUUGUGUCGUCCAGCUUUGGGAAGGCAUUCGCAACCGCCAGCAAGCCAGAAGACCUACCACAAAUGG
rnacentral:ncRNA from 1 species